rnacentral:snoRNA from 1 species
UUACAUGAUGCGGUAAUUUGCGAUUGACGCAGCGUCUGUGAUGCCCUCGCCGGGGUUUUCUAUACAGCGCUGCCGCAUGAUAUUUAAUUCUUACAUAUUCUGAUA